rnacentral:rRNA from 1 species
GACGAACGCUGGCGGCGUGCUUAACACAUGCAAGUCGAACGGAAAGGCCCUGCUUGCAGGGUACUCGAGUGGCGAACGGGUGAGUAACACGUGGGUGAUCUGCCCUGCACUUCGGGAUAAGCCUGGGAAACUGGGUCUAAUACCGGAUAGGAGCCAUUUUUAGUGUGAUGGUUGGAAAGUUUUUUCGGUGUAGGAUGAGCUCGCGGCCUAUCAGCUUGUUGGUGGGGUAAUGGCCUACCAAGGCGGCGACGGGUAGCCGGCCUGAGAGGGUGGACGGCCACAUUGGGACUGAGAUACGGCCCAGACUCCUACGGGAGGCAGCAGUGGGGAAUAUUGCACAAUGGGCGCAAGCCUGAUGCAGCGACGCCGCGUGGGGGAUGACGGGCUUCGGGUUGUAAACUCCUUUCGCUAGGGAAGAAGCUUUUUGUGACGGUACCUAGAUAAGAAGCACCGGCUAACUACGUG